rnacentral:rRNA from 1 species
UUCCUUUAGAUAUUAUUAAAGGUAACACCUGCUCCAUGAAUAUUUAAAUAGCUGCAGGAGACUGUACUAAGGUAGCAUAAUCAUUUGUUUUUUAAUUGAAGACUAGAAUGAAUGGUGAAACGAAUUUAUAACAUUUCUUUCCUUAAUUAUUGAAAUUUAUUUUUAGUUUAAAAAGACUAAAUAAUUUUUAGGGACGAGAAGACCCUAUAAAGCUUAAUUUUAUUAAAUUAUUAAUAAUUUAAUAAUCAUUUGGUUGGGGAAACAUAAUAAGAUUUAAAGCUUAUUUUAUUAGCCAGAAAUUCUGAUUAAAAAGAAAGUUACUUUAGGGAUAACAGCAUAAUAAGAAAAAUCAAGAUCUUAUUGAUUUUUCUGUUUGUGACCUCGAUGUUGGAUUAAUAUAACUUUAAGAUGAACAAAGUUUAAUAGUUUGUCUGUUCGACAAUUAAAAUUUUACA